rnacentral:snRNA from 1 species
UUAUUGAUCAUUACUUAAACUCUCAACGUUGGAAUGAUACAGAGAAGAUUGCAUAGCCCCUACGCAAGGAUGACACGUAUAAACGUUUUAAAUUAAUCAUCAUC